rnacentral:rRNA from 1 species
UGGGGAAUUUUGGACAAUGGGCGCAAGCCUGAUCCAGCCAUGCCGCGUGCGGGAAGAAGGCCUUCGGGUUGUAAACCGCUUUUGUCAGGGAAGAAACGCUCUGGGCUAAUACCCCGGGGUAAUGACGGUACCUGAAGAAUAAGCACCGGCUAACUACGUGCCAGCAGCCGCGGUAAUACGUAGGGUGCAAGCGUUAAUCGGAAUUACAGGGCGUAAAGCGUGCGCAGGCGGUUAUGCAAGACAGAUGUGAAAUCCCCGGGCUUAACCUGGGAACUGCAUUUGUGACUGCAUAGCUGGAGUGCGGCAGAGGGGGAUGGAAUUCCGCGUGUAGCAGUGAAAUGCGUAGA